rnacentral:rRNA from 1 species
CCUACGGGAUGCACCAGUGGGGAAUUUUCCGCAAAGGGCGAAAGCCUGACGGAGCAAUGCCGCGUGGAGGUAGAAGGCCCACGGGUCGUGAACUUCUUUUCCCGAAGAAGAAGUAAUGACGGUAUCUGGGGAAUAAGCCCCGGCUAACUACGUGCCAGCAGCCGCGGUAAUACGAAGGGGGCUAGCGUUGUUCGGAAUUACUGGGCGUAAAGCGCGCGUAGGCGGAUAGAUAAGUCAGAGGUGAAAUCCCGGGGCUCAACCCCGGAAUUGCCUUUGAUACUGUUUAUCUUGAGUGCAGAAGAGGUAAGUGGAAUUCCGAGUGUAGAGGUGAAAUUCGUAGAUAUUCGGAGGAACACCAGUGGCGAAGGCGGCUUACUGGUCUGCAACUGACGCUGAGGCGCGAAAGCGCGGGGAGCAAACAGGAUUAGAUACCCUUGUAGUC